AACGCUAGCUACAGGCUUAACACAUGCAAGUCGAGGGGCAGCAUGGUCUUAGCUUGCUAAGGCCGAUGGCGACCGGCGCACGGGUGAGUAACACGUAUCCAACCUGCCGUCUACUCUUGGACAGCCUUCUGAAAGGAAGAUUAAUACAAGAUGGCAUCAUGAGUCCGCAUGUUCACGUGAUUAAAGGUAUUCCGGUAGACGAUGGGGAUGCGUUCCAUUAGAUAGUAGGCGGGGUAACGGCCCACCUAGUCUUCGAUGGAUAGGGGUUCUGAGAGGAAGGUCCCCCACAUUGGAACUGAGACACGGUCCAAACUCCUACGGGAGGCAGCAGUGAGGAAUAUUGGUCAAUGGGCGAGAGCCUGAACCAGCCAAGUAGCGUGAAGGAUGACUGCCCUAUGGGUUGUAAACUUCUUUUAUAAAGGAAUAAAGUCGGGUAUGGAUACCCGUUUGCAUGUACUUUAUGAAUAAGGAUCGGCUAACUCCGUGCCAGCAGCCGCGGUAAUACGGAGGAUCCGAGCGUUAUCCGGAUUUAUUGGGUUUAAAGGGAGCGUAGAUGGAUGUUUAAGUCAGUUGUGAAAGUUUGCGGCUCAACCGUAAAAUUGCAGUUGAUACUGGAUAUCUUGAGUGCAGUUGAGGCAGGCGGAAUUCGUGGCGUAGCGGUGAAAUGCUUAGAUAUCACGAAGAACUCCGAUUG
rnacentral:rRNA from 1 species